rnacentral:lncRNA from 1 species
GCUCGGAGACGCCGCUGACCCUAAGCCCCCUGCCCAGCCUCACCCCUGAGCCCAGACCCUUUGCUCCCGCUGCCCCCGCCGUGGGGUCAGGGACACACAGAAUGUCGGGGCUGGCAGGGGCCCCAGGAAGUCUGGCCCGUCCCCCUGGGGGUGCAGGUGGGGGCAGUGGUCCCUCCCUGGCCGUGCUGUGCGCCUCCCCUCCAUCCCAGAAGCCCCCAGGGCCUGACCGGGGCUCUGCCCUUCUCCCUGCAUCUCUCCUCUGCUUCCUGCCUCACUUCCCAGAGCAGAUGCUGCAAAAUCCAGAUUCUACCUCCCUAUGGCUCAGUAAAGAGGACACAGUCCUGUUGGCAGGACUGCACCGGCUCCAUGCCAGGGCACCAGGCACAGAUGGGGCAGCACAGAGUGGCGUCACAAGCUGUCAGUAAUGAUUAGCCUUCAUCAACAAACAGUGGCCACCUGAGCUCCGCCUGAAUGACCAGACAGCUACAGGUUCCAGGGCCAAUCCUGUCCCAGCUGAGAGGGUUUAAGGAGUUUCGAGCAUUUUUCCAAAAGGACACCAAAAAUGGUCAAUAGGUGAUGCUCAACAGAAGAUGCUCAACAUCAGUUACCAUUGGUGAAGGAAAAGAAAAUUGAAACCAUGUGAGAUAGCACCUCACACUUGUCAGAAUGGUUAGUAGCAAAAAGAUAAGAAAUAACAAAUGUGUUGGGGAGGACGUGGAGGAAAGGGAGCCCUCGACACUGUUGGUGGGAAUGCAAAUGAGCCCAACCACUAUGGAAAACAAUAUGGAGUUUUCUCAAAAAAAAAAAAAAAAAAA